CUGUUAGCAGAUGGCUGAAAAAAGGCAUAAACCAUGAUUCAAAAAGAUUCAUGCAACCCCAGUGUUCAUUGCAGCACUAUUUACAAUAGCCAAGACAUGGGAGCAACCUAAAUGUCCAUCAACAGAGGAGUGGAUAAAGAAGAUGUGGCACAUAUGUACAAUGGAAUAUUACUCAGCCAUUAAAAAGCAUGAAAUAAUGCCAUUUGCCACAACAUCAGUGGAUCUAGAUAUUAUCAUACUAAGUGAAACAAGAUCCUUUCCUGCAGAACUGCGCCCCCCCCCCCCGCCCCGCCCAAAACAGACAGAAUGCAAGACCAUCACAAUGGGGCUAUGACCAGUUCCACGGACACGCAACACAUUGGCAUUGACAUGCCCAGAGGGGUACACCAGACAGCAGUGGGUGCUGGGCCAAGGAAGCGGCGUGAUGCACCCGUGGAGGAGGAGCCCCGGCUGUGUCUGGGAAUACAUUUCACACAGGGGACACGUCCCCGAGGACGGGCUGUAGUGGCCCCUAAA
rnacentral:lncRNA from 1 species